rnacentral:rRNA from 1 species
GAGUUUGAUCCUGGCUCAAGACGAACGCUGGCGGCGUGCUUAACACAUGCAAGUCGAACGGGGCAUAGGGAUAUGCCUAGUGGCGGACGGGUGAGUAACACGUGAGCAAUCUAUCCUAUACAACGGGAUAACACAGAGAAAUUUGUGCUAAUACGGUAUAAGACCACAUUCCGGCAUCGGAGAGGGGUAAAAGCUGAGGCGGUAUAGGAGGAGCUCGCGGCCCAUUAGCUAGUUGGAGAGGUAACGG